AUGAUUUCCCCAAGCUGCAGCCCUUCCAGGACCACUGGGAAGAAUCCUUGAUGCUCCUUCUGACACCAGUCGUCAUCUGAUGGGCUUCUCUUCAGAAAGGGCGAACACUUUUAAAAGUGGCUGUGGAAAGCCGAGGACGGCUAUGGGGCUGAAAGACCCCGUGCCCAAGGUCAGGGGGUCAGGGCUUGGAUUCUGUUCUUCAACUCAGGCAGAGUGGGAAGGACUCUGCUCUCAUCAAAUACUGACUGUCUGUGCACAACCUAGGUGGACAGGGCUGGGGUGAGGUCAGGAGACACAGAAGAAGCCUCCCCUGCCUGUGCAGAGGCUUCCAGUCCCCACGUGUGAAAGGGUAUGAGUGGAGUGGGGUAGUCCAGCACAUCCUCCUGGGUGGGCCGACCUCAGAGACGCAGGGGUAGCUGCAGUCCCUGUGCCCGCAGGAACAAUCGGAAAGUCGGGAAGUAGAACCCGAAUGCUAGCGAGGAGCCUCAGGCUCCGGGACAGCAUAUACCACCAUCACUUCACUCUAAACGCUCAAGCAAUGGAGAGGGAGGCCUCACACUGCACAGCAGCUUGGCAGCUACCAUUUAACUUGCCGGAUGACACACGGGGAUGUGUCAGGUGGAGGACGUGAACUACAAGUGAAUCGCCAACUUCCAUCACAAUGGAGACGCUGCUUUUAGCGAAGUCCUCAGGCCUUGUGGCUUUCUUGUGACCACCACCGCCACGCUGCUCUCCUGAAUGGGGAGCACAGGAGUGGGGCAGACUGAGGUGAAGAGUGAGGGCACCUGAGGUGAAGAUGAGGACCCCAGAUUAGUCACCACGCACACAGCACGGAGCGUCCCUGAUUUGAGAAGCAAAAACAGUCAUUACUAGAUUGGUUCUCUGUCGCCGAGUGUGGGGGGACAAACAAUGCUGCACGAUUUCUGCUUGUGUAGCGUCUUUCAAACCGUACCAUGCCCCAGCGACGCUCGAGCUGCUGUAAAUAGUACACUCACCACGAUAAACAUUCUAAACAUC